rnacentral:rRNA from 1 species
AUACGGAGGAUGCAAGCGUUAUCCGGAUUUAUUGGGUUUAAAGGGUGCGUAGGCUGUUCGGAAAGUCAGGGGUGAAAGCCCGGCGCCUAACGCCGGAACUGCCUUUGAUACUUCCGAGCUGGAAUACGGAUGCCGUGGGAGGAAUGAGUAGUGUAGCGGUGAAAUGCAUAGAUAUUACUCAGAACACCGAUUGCGAAGGCAUCUCGCGAAUCCGUCAUUGACGCUGAGGCACGAAAGCGUGGGGAUCAAACAGGAUUAGAUACCCUGGUAGUCCACGCAGUAAACGAUGAUGACUAACCGUCGGCGAUACACAGUCGGUGGCCAAGCGAAAGCGAUAAGUCAUCCACCUGGGGAGUACGUUCGCAAGAAUGAAACUCAAAGGAAUUGACGGGG